UGGGCAACCUGCCCCUCUCUCUGGGAUAACCCCCGGGGAAACCGGAGCUAAUACCGGAUACUCCGGCUGGAUCGCAUGGUCCGGCCGGGAAAGGUCCGCCGGAGAGGGAUGGGCCCGCGGCCUAUCAGCUUGUUGGUGGGGUCAUGGCUCACCAAGGCGACGACGGGUAGCUGGUCUGAGAGGACGACCAGCCACACUGGAACUGAGAUACGGUCCAGACCUCCUACGGGAGCA
rnacentral:rRNA from 1 species